rnacentral:rRNA from 1 species
UACGUAGGCAGCAAGCGUUGUUCGGAGUUACUGGGCGUAAAGAGUGCGUAGGCGGUCCUGUAAGUUUGGUGUGAAAUCUCACGGCUCAACUGGGAGGGUGCGCCGAAGACUGCAGGGCUUGAGUAUGGGAGAGGUAAGCGGAAUUCCUGGUGUAGCGGUGAAAUGCGUAGAUAUCAGGAGGAACACCUGUGGUGUAGACAGCUUCCUGGACCAUAACUGACGCUGAGGCACGAAAGCGUGGGUAGCAAACAGG